rnacentral:rRNA from 1 species
CCCUUAAAUGUUCUGGGCCGCACGCGCGCUACACUGAUGCAUUCAACGAGUCUAAAACCUGGUCUGAUAGGGCUGGGUAAUCUUUUGAAUGUGCAUCGUGAUUGGGAUAGAUGAUUGCAAUUCUUCAUCUUCAACGAGGAAUGCCUAGUAAACGCAAGUCAUCAGCUUGCAUUGAUUACGUCCCUGCCCUUUGUACACACCGCCCGUCGCUCCUACCGAUUGAAUGUUCCGAUGAAUACCAUGGACUGAGAGUAUGAAUGGGUUCGCCUAUUUCUGCUUCUCGGGAAGUGGAGUAAAUCUUAACAUUUAGAGGAAGGAGAAGUCGUAACA